UACGUAGGUGGCAAGCGUUGUCCGGAGUUAUUGGGCGUAAAGCGCGCGCAGGCGGUGCGGUAAGUCUAUGGUGAAAGCGCUCGGCUUAACUGGGCGAGGGCCGUGGAGACUGCCGGACUGGAGGGGAGCAGAGGCGAGUGGAAUUCCGGGGUGUAGUGGUGAAAUGCGUAGAGAUCCGGAGGAACACCAGUGGCGAAGGCGGACUCGGCUGGG
rnacentral:rRNA from 1 species